rnacentral:rRNA from 1 species
GACGAACGCUGGCGGCGUGCUUAACACAUGCAAGUCGAACGGAAAGGCCCUGCUUUUGUGGGGUGCUCGAGUGGCGAACGGGUGAGUAACACGUGAGUAACCUGCCCUUGACUUUGGGAUAACUUCAGGAAACUGGGGCUAAUACCGGAUAGGAGCUCCUGCUGCAUGGUGGGGGUUGGAAAGUUUCGGCGGUUGGGGAUGGACUCGCGGCUUAUCAGCUUGUUGGUGGGGUAGUGGCUUACCAAGGCUUUGACGGGUAGCCGGCCUGAGAGGGUGACCGGCCACAUGGGGACUGAGAUACGGCCCAGACUCCUACGGGAGGCAGCAGUGGGGAAUAUUGCACAAUGGGCGGAAGCCUGAUGCAGCAACGCCGCGUGCGGGAUGACGGCCUUCGGGUUGGAAACCGCUUUCGCCUGUGACGAAGCGUGAGUGACGGUAAUGGGGAAAGAAGCACUGGCUAACUACGU